rnacentral:rRNA from 1 species
GAUGAACGCUGGCGGCGUGCUUAACACAUGCAAGUCGAACGGUGAAGCAGAGCUUGCUCUGUGGAUCAGUGGCGAACGGGUGAGUAACACGUGAGCGACCUGCCCCGGACUCUGGGAUAAGCGCUGGUAACGGCGUCUAAUACCGGAUACGAGAUUCCACCGCAUGGUGAGUUUCUGGAAAGAUUUUUUGGUCUGGGAUGGGCUCACGGCCUAUCAGCUUGUUGGUGAGGUAAUGGCUCACCAAGGCGUCGACGGGUAGCCGGCCUGAGAGGGUGACCGGCCACACUGGGACUGAGACACGGCCCAGACUCCUACGGGAGGCAGCAGUGGGGAAUAUUGCACAAUGGGCGGAAGCCUGAUGCAGCAACGCCGCGUGAGGGAUGACGGCCUUCGGGUUGUAAACCUCUUUUAGCAGGGAAGAAGCGAAAGUGACGGUACCUGCAGAAAAAGCGCCGGCUAACUACGUGCCAGCCGCCGCGGUAAUAC